GGUGGGAGGAUCGCUUGAGCCUGGGAGGUUGAGGCUGCACUGAGCCAUGAUCAUGCAACUGCACUCCAGCCUGAGUGACAGAGCAAGACC
rnacentral:miRNA from 1 species